GUGAGAAGCUGGCCAUCAAAAGAAGCCUGUGCUCGCCGUACACCCACAGACAAAUGGUUUGGUGGAAAAACGAAAUGGCACAAUACAAAGGUCCCUGAACAAACUGGUGGAGGGUGAGCCCAAACGGUGGGACCAACUCCUCCAAGGGACGAUGUUUGGUCUGAGAACGAAAACCCAGCUGACCACCAGGUUCAGCCCUUAUUUUCUGAUGUUUGGGAGGGAGGCGAGGUACCCGUCAGAGGUGCCCAAGGAGUAUGAAAUAACGGAAGAGAAAGUCAGCAGCUUGGUGCAAAUGGAGGAAGUCUUCGAGGGACUCAAAAAACAGGAGGCAGUUUUCGCGGAGGUGAAAGGUAACAUAGCAAAAAGCCAGGAUAAGAUCUGCAAGAAGAAAGAAGGUGGGCAAGUGGACAAUUUUCAAGUGGGGGAUUUCGUUUUAAAAUGCAACAAAAGGUCGGAACAGAGGGAAGGAGGAAAGCUAGAAGCAGACAUGUUGGGACCAUUCAGGAUCCUAAACAUUGAGGGGAAGGUAGCGGACCUUGCUACAAAAAAAGGAAAGAAGACAAUGAGAGUGAACAUUGAUCAUUUGAAACACUAUGUCCAGCCAGAGGAGAGGAUCCCUGCUAAAUUACAAAAAGUGUUGGAUCCUUCUCCUCUGGCUGCUCCACUGCCCUCCACACCCACACCCACCUCCACCUCCACACGAGGAGCAUCCUCUGAUGUAGAGACUUUAAUCCGAGACAUAUGGGCAGGGAGGAGACAAGAGACACUGUGGGCCAAGUAUGGCCCAUACAAAAUAUACAGUCAAAAUCUGUUGGUCUUGGCCCCGGGAGAGGAGUUGGAGGGAGAGAUUGUGAAUGGGUUGGGGCCAAAGCUGGGGUCUUCAUUGUGGACUCCUACCUAAUGACUUCCCUCUGGAAGGGAACCCACAAGGGAAGCUUAAGAAAGGUGAGUAGAGUACUAGAAAUAAGUGUAUAUAUGAACAUAUGUAUGUACUGCGGAAGUUUAUGAAGAGAAUUAUGCAGAAGAUGUGAUGCAG